GUAGGGAAUAUUGGGCAAUGGAUGCAAGUCUGACCCAGCCAUCCCGCGUGCCGGAAGAAGGCCCUCAGGGUUGUAAACGGCUUUUGACGGUGAAGAAUCGACAGGAUGCGUCCUGUUUUGACGGUAGCCGUUGAAUAAGCACCGGCUAACUCCGUGCCAGCAGCCGCGGUAAUACGGAGGGUGCGAGCGUAGUCCGGAUUUAUUGGGUUUAAAGGGUGCGUAGGCUGGAAGGUCAGUCAGCGGUGAAAAGCUGUCGCUUAACGAUAGUCUUGCGGAAGAUACUUCCUUUCUUGGAUGAGGAGGAGGCCACUGGAGCGGAUGGUGUAGCGGUGAAAUGCAUAGAUAUCAUCCAGAACACCGAUUGCGAAGGCAGGUGGCUGUACCUUAAUCGACGCUGAUGCACGAAAGCAUGGGGAGCAAACAGGAUUAGAAACCCGGGUAGUCC
rnacentral:rRNA from 1 species